rnacentral:rRNA from 1 species
CAGUCGCCGGGGAAUACGUAGGUGGCAAGCGUUGUCCGGAAUUAUUGGGCGUAAAGGGCUCGCAGGCGGUUUCUUAAGUCUGAUGUGAAAGCCCCCGGCUCAACCGGGGAGGGUCAUUGGAAACUGGGAAACUUGAGUGCAGAAGAGGAGAGUGGAAUUCCACGUGUAGCGGUGAAAUGCGUAGAGAUGUGGAGGAACACCAGUGGCGAAGGCGACUCUCUGGUCUGUAACUGACGCUGAGGAGCGAAAGCGUGGGGAGCGAACAGGAUUAGAUACCCCGGUAGUCCCUGUCUCUUAUACA